rnacentral:rRNA from 1 species
GACGAACGCUGGCGGCGUGCUUAACACAUGCAAGUCGAACGGAAAGGCCCUGCUUGCCGGGUACUCGAGUGGCGAACGGGUGAGUAACACGUGGGUGAUCUGCCCUGCACUUCGGGAUAAGCCUGGGAAACUGGGUCUAAUACCGGAUAGUAGCCAUUUUUAGUGUGAUGGUUGGAAAGUUUUUUCGGUGUAGGAUGAGCUCGCGGCCUAUCAGCUUGUUGGUGGGGUAAUGGCCUACCAAGGCGGCGACGGGUAGCCGGCCGGAGAGGGUGGACGGCCACAUUGGGACUGAGAUACGGCCCAGACUCCUACGGGAGGCAGCAGUGGGGAAUAUUGCACAAUGGGCGCAAGCCUGAUGCAGCGACGCCGCGUGGGGGAGGACGGCCUUCGGGUUGUAAACUCCUUUCGCUAGGGACGAAGCUUUUUGUGACGGUACCUAGAGAAGAAGCACCGGCUAACUACGUG